CUAUUCUUUUUUUCUUUUUUUAGUUUUCUUUAGUUUUAUUCUGCCUGUUUUUAAGGGUUUUUUUCAGGUUUUUUUCAGUUUUUUUGUUAUUUAUAUAUAUAUAUAGGUUGUUCUUUUCUGAAAUACUUUUCCUUCUGUUUUUUUUAUUUUGUUUAUACUAUCCUUUCUAUCCUUCUAUCCUUUUUCCUAUCCUUUCUUUUGUUUUUUUUAGUUCUUUUUGUUAUAUAUAUUUAGGGUGUUUUUUUUCAGAAAUACUUUUCCUUCUGUUUUUUAAAUUUUGUAUACACUAUCCUUUCUCCUUUUUUUAGUUUACUUUAGUUUUUUUCUGCCUGUUUAAAUUUUUUUUUUUAGUUUUUUUAGUUUUUUAAAGUUUUUUUUAGAAAAUACUAUUCUUUUUCUUCUUUUUUAGUUUUCUUUAGUUUUAUUCUGCCUGUUUUUAAGGUUUUUUUUAGUUUUUUUUUCUUUUUUUAUUAUUUAUAUAUAUAUAGGUUGUUCUUUUCUGAAAUACUUUUCCUUCUUUUUUUUUAUUUUGUUUAUAAUAUCCUUUCUCUUUUUUUAGUUUUCUUUAGUUUUUUUCUCCCUGUUUUAAUUUUUUAUUAGAAAAACUAUUCUUUUUCUUAUCUUGAAGACUUAAAAACAGGCAACUGGACUGUGUAGAGUUGAGAGUUGUUAUUUAUAAAUAUUAAGGGUUUUCCUUUCUGAAAUACUUUUCCUUCUGUUUUUUUAUUUUGUUUAUACUAUCCUUUCUCUUUUUUAGUUUUCUUCAGUUUUUUUCUGCCUGUUUUAAUUUUUUUUGUUUUUUCUAUAUAUUUAGGGUGUUUUUUCUGAUAUACUUUUCUUUCUGUUUUUUUAAUUUUGUUUAUACUAUCCUUUCUCUUUUUUUAGUUUUCUUUAGUUUUUUGUCUGCCUGUUUUAAGUUUUUUUUAUUAGUUUUUUUAGUUCUUUUUGUUAUAUAUAUUUAGGGUGUUUUUUUUCAGAAAUAGUUUUCCUUCUGUUUUUUUAUUUUGUUUACACUAUCCUUUCUCCUCUUUUUAGUUCACUUUAGUUUUUUUCUGCCUGUUUUAAGUUUUUUUUUUAGUUUUUUAAAGUUUUUUUUAGAAAUACUAUUCUUUUUCUUUUUUUUUUAGUUUUCUUUAGUUUUAUUCUGCCUGUUUUUAAGGGGUUUUUUCAGGUUUUUUUCAGUUUUUUUGAAGUUUUUUUGAAGUUUUUUUAGAAAUACUAAUCUUCUUCUUGUUUUUAUUAGUUUUCUUUAGUUUUAUUCUGCCUGUUUUAAGUUUUUUUUUUUUCUAUAUAUUUGGGGUGUUUUUUCUGAUAUACUUUUCUUUCUGUUUUUUUAAUUUUGUUUAUACUAUCCUUUCUCUUUUUUUAGUUUUCUUUAGUUUUUUGUCUGCCUGUUUUAAGUUUUUUGUAUUAGUUUUUUGAGUUCUUUUUGUUUUUUAUAAUUAGGGUGUUUUUUUCAGAAAUACUUUUCCUUCUGUUUUUUUUAUUUUGUUUACACUAUCCUUUCUCCUCUUUUUAGUUUACUUUAGUUUUUUUCUGCCUGUUUUAAGUUUUUUUUUUAGUUUUUUAAAGUUUUUUAGAAAUACUAUUCUUUUUCUUCUUUUUUUAGUUUUCUUUAGUUUUAUUCUGCCUGUUUUUAAGGGGUUUUUUCAGGUUUUUUUCAGUUUUUUUGUUAUUUAUAUAUAUAUAGGUUGUUCUUUUCUGAAAUACUUUUCCUUCUGUUUUUUUAUUUUGUUUAUACUAUCCUUUCUAUCCUUCUAUCCUUUAUCCUAUCCUUUCUUUUGUUUUUUUUAAUUCUAUUUGUUAUAUAUAUUUAGGGUGUUUUUUUUCAGAAAUACUUUUCCUUCUGUUUUUUAAAUUUUGUAUACACUAUCCUUUCUCCUUUUUUUAGUUUACUUUAGUUUUUUUCUGCCUGUUUUAAGUCUUUUUUUAGUUUUUUUAGUUUUUUAAAGUUUUUUUAGAAAAUACUAUUCUUUUCUUCUUUUUUAGUUUUCUUUAGUUUUAUCCUGCCUGUUUUUAAGUUUUUUUUUAGUUUUUUUUUUCUUUUUUUAUUAUUUAUAUAUAUAUAGGUUGUUCUUUUCUGAAAUACUUUUCCUUCUGUUUUUUUAUUUUGUUUAUACUAUCCUUUCUCUUUUUUAGUUUUCUUCAGUUUUUUUCUGCCUGUUUUAAUUUUUUUUGUUUUUUCUAUAUAUUUAGGGUGUUUUUUCUGAUAUACUUUUCUUUCUGUUUUUUUAAUUUUGUUUAUACUAUCCUUUCUCUUUUUUUAGUUUUCUUUAGUUUUUUGUCUGCCUGUUUUAAGUUUUUUUUAAGGUUUUUUUCAGUUUUUUGUUAUUUAUAUAUAUAUAUAGGUUGUUCUUUUCUGAAAUACUUUUCCUUCUUUUUUUUAUUUUGUUUAUACUAUCCUUUCUCCUUUUUAGUUUUCUUUAGUUUUUGUCUGCCUGUUUUAAGUUUUUUUUUUAGUUUUUUGAAGUUUUUUUUAGAAAUACUAAUCUUUUUAUUAGUUUUCUUUAGUUUUUUUCUGCCUGUUUUAAUUGUUUUGUUUUUUGUUUCCUUUAGUUUUUUUUUCUUCAGUUUUUUUUACCUAUUUUUUUGCCUGGCACCUCUUUCUUGAUGAGCUACUCUUAGUCUGGUCCCUCCCCCAGGACCUGCUGCCUUGGGUAACCUUUCAGAGGCAUAAAGCCCUGACAACAUAGCUCCUGGGAUCAUUGGGACACACAAACCCCUCCACCACGGUAAGGUGGUAGCUCAAGGAGGGGAAAAAACCCUCACAUGGGAGGGAAAAACCGCAAGGGUUUUUUUUUCUGUGCAAAACACCCGGUUUAGGGUGGGUUUUUGUUCUUUUUUUUCAGAAAUACUUUUCAUUUCUUUAGUUUCCUAUAGUUCUUUUUUAUUUUUCUGCCUGUUUUAAGUUUUUUUUUCAGAAAUACUGUGAUGUUUCUUUUUUUUUUAGUUUUUUUUUAUGAAUACUAUUCUUUUUCUCAGUUUUCUUUAGUUUUUUUUGUCAUUUAUAAAUAUUAAGGGUUUUCCUUUCUGAAAUACUUUUCCUUCUGUUUUUUUAUUUUGUUUAUACUAUCCUUUCUCUUUUUUAGUUUUCUUUAGUAUUUUCUACCUGUUUUAAGUUUUUUUUUUGUUUUUUUUGUUUUUUCUAUAUAUUUAGGGUGUUUUUUUCUGAAAUACUUUUCCUUCUGUUUUUUUUAUUUUGUUUAUACUAUCCUUUCUCUUUUUUAGUUUUCUUUAGUUUUUUUCUGCCUGUUUUAAGUUUUUUUUGUUUUUUCUAUAUAUUUAGGGUGUUUUAUCAGAAAUACUUUUCCUUCUGUUUUUUUUAUUUUGUUUAUACUAUCCUUUCUCUUUUUUAGUUUUCUUUAGUUUUUUUCUGCCUGUUUUAAGUUUUUUUUAGUUUUUUUAGUUUUUUAGUUUUUUCUAUAUAUUUAGGGUGUUUUUUCUGAAAUACUUUUCCUUCUGUUUUUUUUAUUUUUUUUAUACUAUCCUUUCUCUUUCUUUAAUUUUCUUUAGUUUUUUGUCUGCCUGUUUUAAGUGUUUUUUUUUAUUUUUUAAAGUUUUUUUUUAGAAAUACUAUUCUUUUUCUUCUUUUUUUAGUUUUCUUUAGUUUUAUUCUGCCUGUUUUUAAGGGUUUUUUUAGGUUUUUUUCAGUUUUUUGUUAUUUAUAUAUAUAAACAACCUGUUUUAAGGUUGUUUUUUAGUUUUUUUCUUGUUGUUAUUUAUAUAUAUUAAGGGUGUUCUUUUCUGAAAUACUUUUCCUUCUUUUUUUUCAUUUUGUUUAUAAUAUCCUUUCUCUUUUUUAGUUUUCUUUAGUUUUUUUCUGCCUGUUUUAAGUUUUUUUUUUUUUUUUUUUUCUAUAUAUUUAGGGUGUUUUUUUUCUCAAAUACUAUUCUUUUUCUCCUUUUUUUAGUUUUCUUUAGUUUUAUUCUGCCUGUUUUUAAGGUUUUUUUUUAGUUUUUUUUCAGUUUUUUGUUAUUUAUAUACACUCACUGGCCACUUUAUUAGGUACACCUGUCCAACUGCUCGUUAACACUUAAUUUCUAAUCAGCCAAUCACAUGGCGGCAACUUAGUGCAUUUAGGCAUGUAGACAUGGUCAAGACAAUCUCCUGCAGUUCAAACCGAGCAUCAGUAUGGGGAAGAAAGGUGAUUUGAGUGACUUUGAACGUGGCAUGGUUGUUAGUGCCAGAAGGGCUGGUCUGAGUAUUUCAGAAACUGCUGAUCUACUGGGAUUUUCACGCACAACCAUCUCUAGGGUUUACAGAGAAUGGUCCGAAAAAGAAAAAAUAUCCAGUGAGCGGCAGUUCUGUGGGCGGAAAUGCCUUGUUGAUGCCAGAGGUCAGAGGAGAAUGGCCAGACUGGUUUGAGCUGAUAGAAAGGCAACAGUGACUCAAAUAACCACCCGUUACAACCAAGGUAGGCAGAAGAGCAUCUCUGAACGCACAGUACAUCGAACUUUGAGGCAGAUGGGCUACAGCAGCAGAAGACCACGCCAGGUGCCACUCCUUUCAGCUAAGAACAGGAAACUGAGGCUACAAUUUGCACAAGCUCAUCGAAAUUGGACAAUGAAGAUUGGAAAAACGUUGCCUGGUCUGAUGAGUCUCGAUUUCUGCUGCGACAUUCGGAUGGUAGGGUCAGAAUUUGGCGUCAACAACAUGAAAGCAUGGAUCCAUCCUGCCUUGUAUCAACAGUUCUGGCUGGUGGUGGUGGUGUCAUGGUGUGGGGAAUAUUUUCUUGGCACUCUUUGGGCCCCUUGGUACCAAUUGAGCAUCGUUGCAACGCCACAGCCUACCUGAGUAUUGUUGCUGACCAUGUCCAUCCCUUUAUGACCACAAUGUACCCAACUUCUGAUGGCUACUUUCAGCAGGAUAAUGCGCCAUGUCAUAAAGCUGGAAUCAUCUCAGACUGGUUUCUUGAACAUGACAAUGAGUUCACUGUACUCAAAUGGCCUCCACAGUCACCAGAUCUCAAUCCAAUAGAGCAUCUUUGGGAUGUGGUGGAGCGGGAGAUUCGCAUCAUGGAUGUGCAGCCGACAAAUCUGCGGCAACUGUGUGAUGCCAUCAUGUCAAUAUGGACCAAGCUCUCUGAGGAAUGCUUCCAGCACCUUGUUGAAUCUAUGCCACGAAGAAUUGAGGCAGUUCUGAAGGCAAAAGGGGGUCCAACCCGUUACUAGCAUGGUGUACCUAAUAAAGUGGCCGGUGAGUGUAUAUAUAUAGGUUGUUCUUUUCUGAAAUACUUUUCCUUGUGUUUUUUUAUUUUGUUUAUACUAUCCUUUCUAUCCUUCUAUCCUUUAUCCUAUCCUUUCUUAUAGUUUUUUUAGUUCUUUUUGUUAUAUAUAUUUAGGGUGUUUUUUUUCAGAAAUACUUUUCCUUCUGUUUUUUUAUUUUGUUUACACUAUCCUUUCUCUUCUUUUUAGUUUACUUUAGUUUUUUUCUGCCUGUUUUAAGUUUUUUUUUUAGUUUUUUAAAGUUUUUUUUAGAAAUACUAUUCUUUUUCUUCUUUUUUUAGUUUUCUUUAGUUUUAUUCUGCCUGUUUUUAAGGGGUUUUUUCAGGUUUUUUUCAGUUUUUUUGAAGUUUUUUUAGAAAUACUAAUCUUCUUGUUUUUAUUAGUUUUCUUUAGUUUUAUUCUGCCUGUUUUAAGUUUUUUUUUUUUUCUAUAUAUUUGGGGUGUUUUUUCUGAUAUACCUUUCUUUCUGUUUUUUUAAUUUUGUUUAUACUAUCCUUUCUCUUUUUUUAAUUUUCUUUAGUUUUUUGUCUGCCUGUUUUAAGUUUUUUGUAUUAGUUUUUUGAGUUCUUUUUGUUUUUUAUAAUUAGGGUGUUUUUUUCAGAAAUACUUUUCCUUCUGUUUUUUUUUAUUUUGUUUACACUAUCCUUUCUCCUCUUUUUAGUUUACUUUAGUUUUUUUCUGCCUGUUUUAAGUUUUUUUUUUAGUUUUUUAAAGUUUUUUUAGAAAUACUAUUCUUUUUCUUCUUUUUUUAGUUUUCUUUAGUUUUAUUCUGCCUGUUUUUAAGGGUUUUUUUCAGGUUUUUUUCAGUUUUUUUGUUAUUUAUAUAUAUAUAGGUUGUUCUUUUCUGAAAUACUUUUCCUUCUGUUUUUUUAUUUUGUUUAUACUAUCCUUUCUAUCCUUCUAUCCUUUAUCCUAUCCUUUCUUUUGUUUUUUUUAAUUCUAUUUGUUAUAUAUAUUUAGGGUGUUUUUUUUCAGAAAUACUUUUCCUUCUGUUUUUUAAAUUUUGUAUACACUAUCCUUUCUCCUUUUUUUAGUUUACUUUAGUUUUUUUCUGCCUGUUUUAAGUUUUUUUUAGUUUUUUUAGUUUUUUAAAGUUUUUUUAGAAAAUACUAUUCUUUUUCUUCUUUUUUAGUUUUCUUUAGUUUUAUCCUGCCUGUUUUUAAGUUUUUUUUUUAGUUUUUUUUUUCUUUUUUUAUUAUUUAUAUAUAUAUAGGUUGUUCUUUUCUGAAAUACUUUUCCUUCUGUUUUUUUAUUUUGUUUAUACUAUCCUUUCUCUUUUUUAGUUUUCUUCAGUUUUUUUCUGCCUGUUUUAAUUUUUUUUUGUUUUUUCUAUAUAUUUAGGGUGUUUUUUCUGAUAUACUUUUCUUUCUGUUUUUUUAAUUUUGUUUAUACUAUCCUUUCUCUUUUUUUAGUUUUCUUUAGUUUUUUGUCUGCCUGUUUUAAGUUUUUUUUAUUAGUUUUUUUAGUUCUUUUUGUUAUAUAUAUUUAGGGUGUUUUUUUUUCGGAAAUAGUUUUCCUUCUGUUUUUUUAUUUUGUUUACACUAUCCUUUCUCCUCUUUUUAGUUCACUUUAGUUUUUUUCUGCCUGUUUUAAGUUUUUUUUUUAGUUUUUUUUAGUUUUUUAAAGUUUUUUUUAGAAAUACUAUUCUUUUUUUUCUUUUUUUAGUUUUCUUUAGUUUUAUUCUGCCUGUUUUUAAGGUUUUUUUUAAGGUUUUUUUCAGUUUUUUGUUAUUUAUAUAUAUAUAUAGGUUGUUUUUUUCUGAAAUACUUUUCCUUCUUUUUUUUAUUUUGUUUAUACUAUCCUUUCUCCUUUUUAGUUUUCUUUAGUUUUUGUCUGCCUGUUAUAAGUUUUUUUUUAGUUUUUUGAAGUUUUUUUUAGAAAUACUAAUCUUCUUUUUAUUAGUUUUCUUUAGUUUUUUUCUGCCUGUUUUAAUUGUUUUGUUUUUUGUUUCCUUUAGUUUUUUUUUCUUCAGUUUUUUUUCCUAUUUUUUUGCCUGGCACCUCUUUCUUGAUGAGCUACUCUUAGUCUGGUCCCUCCCCCAGGACCUGCUGCCUUGGGUAACCUUUCAGAGGCAUAAAGCCCUGACAACAUAGCUCCUGGGAUCAUUGGGACACACAAACCCCUCCACCACGGUAAGGUGGUAGCUCAAGGAGGGGAAAAAACCCUCACAUGGGAGGGAAAAACCGCAAGGGUUUUUUUUUCUGUGCAAAACACCCGGUUUAGGGUGGGUUUUUGUUCUUUUUUUUCGGAAAUACUUUUCAUUUCUUUAGUUUCCUAUAGUUCUUUUUUAUUUUUCUGCCUGUUUUAAGUUUUUUUUCAGAAAUACUGUGAUGUUUCUUUUUUUUUUUUAGUUUUUUUUUUUACGAAUACUAUUCUUUUUCUCAGUUUUCUUUAGUUUUUUUUGUCAUUUAUAAAUAUUAAGGGUUUUCCUUUCUGAAAUACUUUUCCUUCUGUUUUUUUAUUUUGUUUAUACUAUCCUUUCUCUUUUUUAGUUUUCUUUAGUAUUUUCUACCUGUUUUAAGUUUUUUUUUUUUUUUUUUUUUUUUCUAUAUAUUUAGGGUGUUUUUUUCUGAAAUACUUUUCCUUCUGUUUUGUUUUAUUUUGUUUAUACAAUCCUUUCUCUUUUUUAGUUUUCUUUAGUUUUUUUCUGCCUGUUUUAAGUUUUUUUUUUAGUUUUUUUUUGUUUUUUUUCUAUAUAUUUAGGGUGUUUUUUCUGAUAUACUUUUCUUUCUGUUUUUUUUAAUAUUGUUUAUACUAUCAUUUCUCUUUAUUUAGUUUUCUUUAGUUUUUUGUCUGCCUGUUUUAAGAUGUUUUUAUUAGUUUUUUUAGUUCUUUUUGUUAUAUAUAUUUAGGGUGUUUUUUUUCAGAAAUAGUUUUCCUUCUGUUUUUUUUUAUUUUGUUUACACUGUCCUUUCUCUUUUUUUUUAAUUUUCUUUAGUUUUUUGUCUGCCUGUUUUUAGUUUUUUUUUUUAGUUUUUUUUUUAGUUCUUUUUGUAAUAUAUUUAGGGUGUUUUAUCAGAAAUACUUUUCCUUCUGUUUUUUUAUUUUGUUUAUAAUAUCCUUUCUCCUUUUUUAGUUUACUUUAGUUUUUUCUGCCUGUUUUAAGUUUUUUUUUUAGAUUUUUUUUAGUUUUUUAAAGUUUGUUUUAGAAAUACUAUUCUUUUUCUUCUUUUUUUAGGUUUCUUUAGUUUUUUUCUGCCUGUUUUAAGGUUGUUUUUUAGUUUUUUUUUCUUGUUGUUAUUUAUAUAUAUAUAGGUUGUUCUUUUCUGAAAUACUUUUCCUUCUGUUUUUUUUAUUUUGUUUAUACUAUCCUUUCUCUUUUUUAGUUUUCUUUAGUUUUUUUCUGCCUGUUUUAAGUUUUUUUUGUUUUUUCUAUAUAUUUAGGGUGUUUUUUUUCUCAAAUACUUUUCCUUCUGUUUUUUUUAUUUUGUUUACACUAUCCUUUCUCUUUUUUUAAUUUUCUUUAGUUUUUUGUCUGCCUGUUUUUAGUUUUUUUUUUUUUAGUUUUUUUUAGUUCUUUUUGUAAUAUAUUUAGGGUGUUUUAUCAGAAAUACUUUUCCUUCUGUUUUUUUUAUUUUGUUUAUACUAUCCUUUCUCUUUUUUAGUUUUCUUUAGUUUUUUUCUGCCUGUUUUAAGUUUUUUUUAGUUUUUUUAGUUUUUUAGUUUUUUCUAUAUAUUUAGGGUGUUUUUUUCUGAAAUACUUUUCCUUCUGUUUUUUUUAUUUUGUUUAUACUAUCCUUUCUCUUUCUUUAAUUUUCUUUAGUUUUUUGUCUGCCUGUUUUAAGUGUUUUUUUUUAGUUUUUUAAAGUUUUUUUUUAGAAAUACUAUUCUUUUUCUUCUUUUUUUAGUUUUCUUUAGUUUUAUUCUGCCUGUUUUUAAGGGUUUUUUUAGGUUUUUUUCAGUUUUUUGUUAUUUAUAUAUAUAAACAACCUGUUUUAAGGUUGUUUUUUAGUUUUUUUCUUGUUGUUAUUUAUAUAUAUUAAGGGUGUUCUUUUCUGAAAUACUUUUCCUUCUUUUUUUUCAUUUUGUUUAUAAUAUCCUUUCUCUUUUUUAGUUUUCUUUAGUUUUUUUCUCCCUGUUUUAAGUUUUUUUUUUUUUUUUUUUUUUUCUAUAUAUUUAGGGUGUUUUUUUUCUCAAAUACUAUUCUUUUUCUCCUUUUUUUUAGUUUUCUUUAGUUUUAUUCUGCCUGUUUUUAAGGUUUUUUUUUAGUUUUUUUUCAGUUUUUUGUUAUUUAUAUACACUCACUGGCCACUUUAUUAGGUACACCUGUCCAACUGCUCGUUAACACUUAAUUUCUAAUCAGCCAAUCACAUGGCGGCAACUUAGUGCAUUUAGGCAUGUAGACAUGGUCAAGACAAUCUCCUGCAGUUCAAACCGAGCAUCAGUAUGGGGAAGAAAGGUGAUUUGAGUGACUUUGAACGUGGCAUGGUUGUUAGUGCCAGAAGGGCUGGUCUGAGUAUUUCAGAAACUGCUGAUCUACUGGGAUUUUCACGCACAACCAUCUCUAGGGUUUACAGAGAAUGGUCCGAAAAAGAAAAAAUAUCCAGUGAGCGGCAGUUCUGUGGGCGGAAAUGCCUUGUUGAUGCCAGAGGUCAGAGGAGAAUGGCCAGACUGGUUUGAGCUGAUAGAAAGGCAACAGUGACUCAAAUAACCACCCGUUACAACCAAGGUAGGCAGAAGAGCAUCUCUGAACGCACAGUACAUCGAACUUUGAGGCAGAUGGGCUACAGCAGCAGAAGACCACGCCAGGUGCCACUCCUUUCAGCUAAGAACAGGAAACUGAGGCUACAAUUUGCACAAGCUCAUCGAAAUUGGACAAUGAAGAUUGGAAAAACGUUGCCUGGUCUGAUGAGUCUCGAUUUCUGCUACGACAUUCGGAUGGUAGGGUCAGAAUUUGGCGUCAACAACAUGAAAGCAUGGAUCCAUCCUGCCUUGUAUCAACAGUUCUGGCUGGUGGUGGUGGUGUCAUGGUGUGGGGAAUAUUUUCUUGGCACUCUUUGGGCCCCUUGGUACCAAUUGAGCAUCGUUGCAACGCCACAGCCUACCUGAGUAUUGUUGCUGACCAUGUCCAUCCCUUUAUGACCACAAUGUACCCAACUUCUGAUGGCUACUUUCAGCAGGAUAAUGCGCCAUGUCAUAAAGCUGGAAUCAUCUCAGACUGGUUUCUUGAACAUGACAAUGAGUUCACUGUACUCAAAUGGCCUCCACAGUCACCAGAUCUCAAUCCAAUAGAGCAUCUUUGGGAUGUGGUGGAGCGGGAGAUUCGCAUCAUGGAUGUGCAGCCGACAAAUCUGCGGCAACUGUGUGAUGCCAUCAUGUCAAUAUGGACCAAGCUCUCUGAGGAAUGCUUCCAGCACCUUGUUGAAUCUAUGCCACGAAGAAUUGAGGCAGUUCUGAAGGCAAAAGGGGGUCCAACCCGUUACUAGCAUGGUGUACCUAAUAAAGUGGCCGGUGAGUGUAUAUAUAUAGGUUGUUCUUUUCUGAAAUACUUUUCCUUGUGUUUUUUUAUUUUGUUUAUACUAUCCUUUCUAUCCUUCUAUCCUUUAUCCUAUCCUUUCUUUUAGUUUUUUUAGUUCUUUUUGUUAUAUAUAUUUAGGGUGUUUUUUUUCAGAAAUACUUUUCCUUCUGUUUUUUUAAUUUUGUUUACACUAUCCUUUCUCCUUUUUUUGGUUAACUUUAGUUUUUUUCUGCCUGUUUUAAGGUUGUUUUUUAGUUUUUUUUAGUUUUUUAAAGUUUUUUUUUUAGAAAUACUAUCCUUUUCUUCUUUUUUAAUUUUCUUUAGUUUUAUUCUUCCUGUUUUUAAGUUUUUUUUAGUUUUUUUUUAGUUUUUUGUUAUUUAUAUAUAUAGGUUGUUCUUUUCUGAAAUACUUUUCCUUCUGUUUUUUUUAUUUUGUUUAUACUAUCCUUUCUCUUUUUUUUAGUUUUCUUUAGUUUUUUUUCUGCCUGUUUUAAUUUUUUAUUAGAAAAACUAUUCUUUUUCUUCUUUUUUAGUUUUCUUUAGUUUUUUUCUGCAUGUUUAAAGUUGUUUUUUAGUUUUUUUUUGUUAUUUAUAAAUAUUAAGGGUUUUCCUUUCUAAAAUACUUUUCCUUCUGUUUUUUUAUUUUGUUUAUACCAUCCUUUCUCUUUUUUAGUUUUCUUUAGUUUUUUUCUGCCUGUUUUAAGUUUUUUUUUAGUUUUUUUAGUUUUUUAGUUUUUUCUAUAUAUUUAGGGUGUUUUUUCUGAAAUACUUUUCCUUCUGUUUUUUUUAUUUUGUUUAUACUAUCCUUUCUCUUUCUUUAAUUUUCUUUAGUUUUUUGUCUGCCUGUUUUAAGUGGUUUUUUUUAGGUUUUUUUAGUUACUUUUGUAAUAUAUUUAGGGUGUUUUAUCAGAAAUACUUCUGUUUUUUUUAUUUUGUUUAUAAUAUCCUUUCUCCUUUUUUAGUUUACUUUAGUUUUUUCUGCCUGUUUUAAUUUUAUUUUUUAGUUUUUUUUUGUUCUUUUUGUAAUAUAUUUAGGGUGUUUUUUCAGAAAUACUGUUCCUUCUGUUUUUUUUAGUUUUUGUCUGCCUGUUCUAAGUUUUUUUUUAGUUUUUUUUAGUUUUUUUUAGAAAUAAUAAUCUUCUUUUUAUUAGUUUUCUUUAGUUUUUUUCUGCCUGUUUUAAUUUUUCUGUUUUUUGUUUUCUUUAGUUUUUUUUCUUCAGUUUUUUUUUCCUAUUUUUUUGCCUGGCACCUCUGUCUGGAUGAGCUACUCUUAGUCUGGUCCCUCCCCCAGGACCUGUUUGCCUUGGGUAACCUUUCAGAGGCAUAAAGCCCUGACAACAUAGCUCCUGGGAUCAUUGGGACACACAAACCCCUCCACCACGGUAAGGUGGUAGCUCAAGGAGGGGAAAAAACCCUCACAUGGGAGGGAAAAACCGCAAGGGUUUUUUUUUCUGUCCAAAACAACCGGUUUAGGGUGGGUUUUUGUUCUUUUUUUUCAGAAAUACUUUUAUUUUCUUUAGUUUCCUAUAGUUCUUUUUUAUUUUUCUGCCUGUUUUAAGUUUUUUUUUUCAGAAAUACUGUGAUUUUACUUUUUUUUUUUACUUUUUUUUUUUUUACAAAUACUAUUCUUUUUCUUUGUUUUCUUUAGUUUUUUUCUGCAUGUUUAAAGUUUUUUUUUGUUUUUUUUGUUAUUUAUAAAUAUAAAGGGUUUUCCUUUCUAAAAUACUUUUCCUUCUGUUUUUUUUAUUUUGUUUAUACUAUCCUUUCUCUUUUUUAGUUUUCUUUAGUUUUUUUCUACCUGUUUUAAGUUUUUUUUGUUUGUCUUUUUUGUUUUUUCUAUAUAUUUAGGGUCUUUUUUUCUGAAAUACUUUUCCCUCUGUUUUUUUAUUUUGUUUAUACUAUCCUUUCUAUUUUUUAGUUUUCUUUAGUUUUUUUCUGCCUGUUUUAAGUUUUUUUUUUUUUUUUUUUAUAUAUAUUUGGGGUAUUUUUUCUGAUAUACUUUUCUUUCUGUUUUUUCAAUUUUGUUUAUACUAUCCUUUCUCUUUUUUUAGUUUUCUCUAGUUUUUUUCUGCCUGUUUUAAGUUUUUUUAUUAGUUUUUUUAGUUUUUUUCUGUUAUAUAUAAUUAGGGUGGUUUUUUUUCAGAAAUUCUUUUCCUUCUGUUUUUUUAUUUUGUUUACACUAUCCUUUCUCCUCUUUUUAGUUUACUUUAGUUUUUUCUGCCUGUUUUAAGUUUUUUUUUAGUUUUUAAAAGUUUUUUUUAGAAAUACUAUUCUUUUUCUUCUUUUUUUAGUUUUCUUUAGUUUUAUUCUGCCUGUUUUUAAGGGUUUUUUUAGUUUUUUUUCAGUUUUUUUGUUAUUUAUAUAUAUAUAUAGGUUGUUCUUUUCUGAAAUACUUUUCCUUCUGUUUUUUUUUUAUUUUGUUUAUACCAUCCUUUCUAUCCUUUAUUUCUUUAGUUUUUUUCUGCCUGUUUUAAGUUUUUUUUUUUUUUUUUUUUUUUUUUUUCUAUAUAUUUGGGGUGUUUUUUCUGAUAUACUUUUCUUUCUGUUUUUUCAAUUUUGUUUAUACUAUCCUUUCUCUUUUUUUAGUUUUCUCUAGUUUUUUUUCUGCCUGUUUUAAGUUUUUUUAUUAGUUUUUUUAGUUUUUUUCUGUUAUAUAUAAUUAGGGUGUUUUUUUUUUCAGAAAUUCUUUUCCUUCUGUUUUUUAUUUUGUUUACACUAUCCUUUCUCCUCUUUUUAGUUUACUUUAGUUUUUUCUGCCUGUUUUAAGUUUUUUUUUAGUUUUUAAAAGUUUUUUUUAGAAAUACUAUUCUUUUUCUUCUUUUUUUAGUUUUCUUUAGUUUUAUUCUGCCUGUUUUUAAGGGUUUUUUUUAGUUUUUUUUUCAGUUUUUUUGUUAUUUAUAUAUAUAUAUAGGUUGUUCUUUUCUGAAAUACUUUUCCUUCUGUUUUUUUUUUUUAUUUUGUUUAUACCAUCCUUUCUAUCCUUUAUCCUAUCCUUUCUUUUAGUUUUUUUAGUUCUUUUUGUUAUAUAUAUUUAGGGUGUUUUUUUUCAGAAAUAUUUUU